GAUGAACGCUGGCGGCGUGCCUAAUACAUGCAAGUCGAGCGAACAGACGAGGAGCUUGCUCCUCUGACGUUAGCGGCGGACGGGUGAGUAACACGUGGAUAACCUACCUAUAAGACGGGGAUAACUUCGGGAAACCGGAGCUAAUACCGGAUAAUAUAUUGAACCGCAUGGUUCAAUAGUGAAAGACGGUUUUGCUGUCACUUAUAGAUGGAUCCGCGCCGCAUUAGCUAGUUGGUAAGGUAACGGCUUACCAAGGCAACGAUGCGUAGCCGACCUGAGAGGGUGAUCGGCCACCCUGGAACUGAGACACGCUCAAGACUCCUACGGGAGGCAGCAGUAGGGAAUCUUCCGCAAUGGGCGAAAGCCUGACGGAGCAACGCCGCGUGAGUGAUGAAGGUCUUCGGAUCGUAAAACUCUGUUAUUAGGGAAGAACCAAUGUGUAAGUAACUAUGCCCGUCUUGACGGUACCUAAUCAGAAAGCCACGGCUAACUACGUG
rnacentral:rRNA from 1 species